rnacentral:misc_RNA from 1 species
UUGCUAAAUGAUGAAUAAUUAAUUUAAGUUUUUAACCCACAGAGCUGUACUCAUUUGUAUGCUCUGUUUUGAAUAAAUAUAAUGUAAAACUAUCAAACUGAUACUGACAUGGCGAUGGAGGUGUGUAAUUGGUCGGUUUUGUUUCGAACAGAACAAAUGACAGAAGAAUUGAACUGAAUCAGUUCAGUUUGGUUUGUCAAUUUAGAAGAAGCCCAAGUAAACAAAACGCCGCAGUUCUACAUAGCCAAUACCUCAUUUGCCCAAGUCCCAAUUCCAGUAACUUGAAGUCAAGAAGCAAAACAUCAAUCAGAAUAUCAGAUUAACAAAAUAAUCAAUCAAAGUAACAAACUAACAAAAAUUUUCAACAAAUUUUAACAAAAUAAUGUAGAAAUAAGUCAAACAAAUCAAAAACCCUGCCAUUAUUUUGCACCCAAAAUCCCAUUGUUCACCAAAAACUCGACCUUCACUUUACCUUGCUGCAAAGAUUACAUGAGCUUUGAGUCUACCUAGGGCAAAAGAUUGCUUGAGCUUCAAAUCUGCAGAGAUGGAAGAAUCGCGGUGGACGAGUCUCCUAUCUCUAUGGCCAGAGGAUGAGGACCAGGACAAAGGACGAUGCCGAGAAGAAAGAAUCGCGAUGGCCAGGGGACAGCGAAGAGUCGUCCGAAGGGGAGAAUUGCCAAAAACCUAGGGCAAAGCCCUUCGGCCAGAGGCAGAAGUCCAAAGCAAUAGGCGAGAGGGGUAGAGGGCAUGAACGAAUGAAAGGGUUAUUUGUUGAGGCCUAAGGGAUUGUGG